AGAGUUUGAUCCUGGCUCAGAAUCAACGCUGGCGGCGUGCCUAACACAUGCAAGUCGAACGAGAAAGUCCGCAAGGAUGAGUACAGUGGCGACCGGGUGAGUAACACGUGACUAACCUACCUCCGAGUGGGGAAUAACUCCGGGAAACCGGAGCUAAUACCGCAUAACAUCGCAAGAUCAAAGCAGCAAUGCGCUUGGAGAGGGGGUCGCGGCUGAUUAGCUAGUUGGUAGGGUAACGGCCUACCAAGGCGAAGAUCGGUAUCCGGCCUGAGAGGGCGCACGGACACACUGGAACUGAAACACGGUCCAGACUCCUACGGGAGGCAGCAGUGGGGAAUUUUGCGCAAUGGGGGAAACCCCGACGCAGCAACGCCGCGUGGAGGAUGAAGUCCCUUGGGAUGUAAACUCCUUUCGACCCGGACGAUACUGACGGUACGGGUGGAAGAAGCACCGGCUAACUCUGUGCCAGCCGCCGCGGUAAUAC
rnacentral:rRNA from 1 species